GUUCUUCAACCACCACGUUAUCGGUCUCAUUCCAAACCACAAAAACUACCGUCACUAUAUGUCUGACAUGAUCUUCCGUGUUGGCUGCUGUCAACAUUCAAGAUCAUGGACGUCGCGGCAAGAUCAGCGAGGAAGAUCUCAAAACUUCAUACACAGAUGCCGAUGAUGAUGUAAUCGGUUCGAUGUUGCCGGUAACCGCAACGUGUUGGAGGAUGUGUUUAAGGCGAUGGAUGGAGACGGUGACGGAAGGGUAGAGUUUGGAGAUCUUAUGAGUUAUCUUGGUCUGCUGUAUUAGAGGGCAAGAAUCAGGCUAGGUGGAGAUGGUGAUAAUGGCGGCUUAUGUUAUAUGUUUUUUUUAAGAUACUUGCAGUUUGAUUGUUGAAAUGUUUAGACGGUUUGUAACUGUCGGAGUGAAGUAUAGGCGCCAGAUUACCGUCGCUUCUUGAAAGUGUCAGAGAGUGAAGUAUGUGUCGCUUAGAUUACUGUAGCGUUUUUAUAUGAAACGAGAUUUCCAUAUUGAAAUCUUGCAUAGCGGAGGAGAAUGGAGAGAAGUCGAGGAAGACAACUUCGACAAAGCGACACAACACCUACAAUAACAAGUCGUUAGUGGAUCAAUAUUAAUCUUCUAUUGAUAAAAUAAAAGGAAUUUGUGUGGAUCAAUAUUAAUCGUUCAUUGAAAAAUGAAACGGAAUUUUGGAAUUAAGGUUGGAUAAAAACCCUGUUGGAUGAUGACGGUCGUCAUUAUACAACUAUUCGGUCGAUAUUAGCGUUAAUCCUUAGUAGCAAGUGAAUUCUUAUCAUUUUGUUUGAUUUACGUUUUAUGGUUUCUACGUUAAAUUUGAUUCCGAAGAUUGGAUGUUAAUGUGUUCCUUUAUUGAAUAUAGUUGGUUUUGUGAAGAAAGUGGCCUAGAUAUGAAUUGCAAAAAUUGUUAG
rnacentral:lncRNA from 1 species